CAAAUAAAACACAGAAUUUCCCUUCUUGUUUGUUUUGACUUGAUGAUCCUUAAACUAUUUUGAUUGUUUCAGUCAUUAGAAUGCAGUAUUGCAGGCUAAUUCUGCCGAUUGCCAGGAGUUUGAUUCUCACCAGCUCAAGGUUGACUCAGCCUUCCAUUCUUCCGAGGAGUUUGUUCCAAAGGAAGGUUGGUAGAAGUGUAAAGAAGUUUUGGAUCCAGGAGUCUAAUGUUAAUGGUAAAUUUCUAGUCGUCAAACUUUCUACCAAAGGAAUCAGGCCUCCAUGGUGAUUAUCAGGCCUCCAUCAACACAGCUCUUCAUCAAUGGAACAGUUCCUCCAUUCUAUUUAUGUAUAUAUUACAUUUGUAAUCUGCUUUCUAUCAAUAAAUCCAGCCUGUGGUAGCUAGCUAAUAAUACAAAAUAAAACAUUCUUUUAAAAC